ACACAGAGGGGACACGGGUGACACAGGGGACAGGGGACACACAGGGACAGGGACAGGGACAGGUGACAGGGACAGGUGACACAGGGACAGGUGACAGGAGCACAGGUGACACACAGGGGACACACAGGGACAGGGACAGGUGACACAGGGACAGGUGACAGGAACACAGGUGACACACAGGGGACACACAGGGACAGGGACAGGUGACACACAGGGGACACACAGGGACAGGUGACACUCAGGUGCCAAUGACAGGUGAUACAGGUGAUACAGGUGGCACACAGGUGACAAUGACACCCAGGUGUCACAGGUGCCAAUGACACAGAGGUGACACAGGUGACACAGGUGCCAAUGACACAGGUGCCAAUGACACAGGUGCCACAGGUGACAAUGACACAGGUGACACAGGUGACAGUGACACACAGGUGACACACGUGCCAAUGACACAGGUGACAGUGACACUGAAAGGUGACAAUGACACAGGUGCCAAUCACACAGGUGCCACAGGUGACAAUGACACAGGUGCCAAUCACACAGGUGCCACAGGUGACAAUGACACAGGUGACACAGGUGACACAGGUGACACACAGGUGGCACACAGGUGACAAUGACAGGUGAUACAGGUGGCACACAGGUGACACAGGUGACACCCAGGUGACACCCAGGUGGCACAGGUGGCACAGGUGGCACAGGUGG